CUUUAAUUGUUCUGUUCUAUUCAAUUCACAAUGAUGUGAAAUAUAAAAAUAAAUAGCAGAUCCUAACAUAUAAGAAACUGAAACCAGCACCUUGACCCUCAAUGCCGGAUUAAAGCGCUCACACCAUAAAUGUCCAGUCAGCUUAUCAAUUAAUCAACCAGCUGUUUUUGAUGCAGCAAAUUCAACUGUAAAAAAUGUGAAAUCGCCCCCCCACGACGCCCCGUGGUACUCACGGGAAGGAUUACGGGAGAGACAGGAGAAAACACAACUAUGUUCUUACAACACGCGGAAGAGGUCGGCUUGUCCACAGGCUACGAUUCGUGAAAUUAAUUACUGUUCGCACUGCCUCUCCUUUAACGACCCCCCCUCCUCCCAUCCCCUUCCUCCCCCGUUACAUUUUCCCACCUCGACACCCCUUUGCUCCCUGUCACAACUCUUCCUCCACCUGUCACAGUUUCAGAGUUCUUCUUCCUCCUCUCCGUUACCCCCCCUCCUCCUCCCCCUCCUCUCCCUGCCUCCCCUGCUGCCAGUUUUUAACUACACUCCACUCUGGCCUCUGCUCUACUUGUUACAGCCCCAACACGAGUGCAAACAAUCAAAGUCUUUGGGAACGCUAAAAUAUGCAUGGCUAUCCGUGACAGACAGAUAAAGCAGGGCAAUUAGCCACGUAAUCCUAGAGCAUCGUACGGAAUAGUCCGCCUCAGCUGUCCCCCCCCCACUUCCUCCCUCUCUACCCUCCUUCCCUUUACUCUCUUGGUCUCCAUUAGUUAAAUGUACUCUGUGUGUCGGCUCCCCAUCAAAUCAAGUAACACUUCCCCUAAUUGGCUUAUAAAUAAUACAGCAGGGCCUGCAUUAUAAUUUCAUCAGUGGUAAACAUUGCGGGGGCAGUUGGUGAAAAACCUAUCCCUCAUUAAUUUCUUAAUUUGGGUAGAUGGAACGGAGAGGAAGGGAGGGAAUAAAAGGUGGAGAGAGAGCGAGAGAGCGAGCGGAUGAACGGAGCGACUCGUAUCACCUCAGGCGGAGGCAGAAAGAAGAUGGAGAAAAUUACAAAACAAACAAGGGGAGGAAGAUGCUUCUGCUGCUGCUUUUGUUAAGAGGUGUCAGAUAUUCGAUCCAGGGGUUUUGUCAGUACUUCCGAGCAUUAGGUGUGCGAGGACCCCGCCGUCCCUAGUCAACACACAAAUACACACUAGCAAAUCGCACAUCUCUCUCAUGAAUCACAUUCUUUGUUCUUGUUUUUAAUGCAGACUUAAUGCACAUUUCAUAACGAGCAAUAUAAAUAUUCAUUUUAAUGGUUUUGCACAUAGUUAUUACCGGUAUCUCCCUCUAAAAUACUCAUUAUAAACACAUAACCAGGCCCUGAAAUAAAUUCUCUCAUUCUCGGUCUUGCACAGAGAUUAUCUAGAUCAACUGCUCAGUGUUUCAGCCAGAAGUCACAGGAACUAUUGUGAAAAUCCUCUAAAAAAACAUCUGCUUUUUGCUUUAAGUGUAAUCAUUUGUGUGUGUACGACACACGUAUCCAUGGGAGAGGCCCGAUGUUCAUCUACGUCUUCCGUCAUCGGCUACAAUCGCAAAGACAAUUGUGAGAAAUCCGUUAAAGACGGCCCGUGUGAUGAAAUCCUUUUUGUAAAAGGCAAUAGGCACAGAGAGCCCAUCAGCCUUCAAAAGAAAAGUUAAGCGCUGCACAUUCUCGGCGAGAUUUAGAAAAUGGAGCCACCUGAAGGCAAUCUGUCUGGGCUGGAACCUCAGCCUGUCACCAAUACAGAGAGCUGUCACGUCGCGCUGUCACGCCGCGCUGCCACGUCGCGCUGCCAGCGCUGAUGGAGACAGACAUCCAUCAUGCCACCCGACGUCUUGCAGGCGCCGCUGAACAUCUGUGUUUCACUAAAGAUCCACCGAACGGCACGCCGAGGCACAGCCACCGGGGCCUCUUGUUCUCUUCCCCGUCGCCUUGAAGGGAGAAAAAGGGCAAAAUAAAGUUCUAUAGCGACAAACAGCCGACUGUCCAUCAAUCAAACUUAGGGCCCAUUAAGCAAAACCCUUUAGCUGAGAGAAGUUACCCGAGGACGGGCUGUGAAAUGCCUUUAAGAAGCAAAUGUUCUCAUUGUCGUCACAGCUUUCAACAUAUGAUAAUGAAAACCACUAAAGCACAGAUAUCUGCUCUUUUACGUCCCUUUAAACUGUAAUGUUCAUCUCAGGUGUAACUGACAUUUACACAGCGGCCCCCAGGUCAGGAACCUGUGAUUUAGACAAACGGUUCAUAAACACGAAACAUGUCAUUUCUCUUCAAAGACAAAAACAUGAUAUUGGUUGUCAGAAAGACUUUAAGUCUGUGAUCUGACCUGAUUUAAGAAGCGUCCUUUAGAAAUAAACAAACACUGUGAUUGGUCUACGGAGGAGCACCUGAGCUCAGGCCUUAGCAAAUGGUUGAUUGGGAAAAUAUGCUCUGCAGAGCCACUAACAAAUGUGCCAUUAUUUAAAUCACCACGAGCUAAUUGCCACCUGGUAAAACCUAAAAUAUCUAGAAUCUUUGGGCCCCCCGAGGGUCUGCAGGGCCGGGGGCCCGGGGGCACGUUGCCUGCUUUGCCCGGUUGGAAUCCAUCUCUGUAUGCAGCUUCACUCAUUCAUUCAUUUUUUGGGAGCAUUGAUUGACACAAAUAAACCCUGGGAUGUGUGUGUGUGUGUGUGUGUG
ensembl:lncRNA